AUACAGCAGUGAGCGGCAUUGAGACCAGGUGCAGUAGUUGUGUAUGAAUGGCAAACUUAAGAUUGCUCUGAAGACAGAUGCAAGAGUUUGGCAGCAGAGUAAGACCUGUGGCAGGAAGCCAGAGAAAUUAAUGACUAACAGCGGAUCACAAAGUCUCCCAGGUUGCCGUUGGUGGUGAUCUUGGCCUGCUGGAUGAUGUUGGGGCUGAAGGUGCAGAUGCAGCGCCGUUGCUCCUGCUGUUGCUCCUGCCGUUGCGGAGCGGCAGCACCUGCAAGUCUGUGAUUGUCGAG